AAUCAACGCUGGCGGCGUGCCUCAGACAUGCAAGUCGAACGAUUAAAGCUCUCUUCGGAGAGUGCAUAGAGUGGCGCACGGGUGAGUAACACGUAAGUAAUCUACCUUCGAGUGGGGAAUAACGUCCGGAAACGGACGCUAAUACCGCAUAAUGCAGCGGCAUCGUAAGAUGACAGUUGUUAAAGAUUUAUCGCUUGAAGAGGAGCCUGCGGCAGAUUAGCUAGUUGGUAAGGUAAUGGCUUACCAAGGCUACGAUCUGUAACCGGUCUUAGAGGACGGUCGGUCACACUGACACUGAAUAACGGGUCAGACUCCUACGGGAGGCAGCAGUCGGGAAUUUUGGGCAAUGGGCGAAAGCCUGACCCAGCAACGCCGCGUGAAGGAUGAAGUAUUUCGGUAUGUAAACUUCGAAAGAAUAGGAAGAAUAAAUGACGGUACUAUUUAUAAGGUCCGGCUAACUACGUGCCAGCAGCCGCGGUAAGGUGCGCGAGU
rnacentral:rRNA from 1 species